GAUGCCAUGGCCAAACAGGGAUGAGGCUCGAAGAGUCUGAUUUCUGGAUGACAGAAACAAGACUUAGCCUGUGAUGAGCAAACCUGGCAGUGCUCUGGAGUGCCAGCUCUCUGCAGGAGGAACCGCCCGGGACUCCGUGGGAACUGUUAUGAGGAAAGGCCCUAGGAUGGAUCAAGCUACAAACCAGCAGGGGAGGCUGAUGAGACACCACGGCCUGGGACUUGUCUAUGCCCAACCCCACAGGAACUCCAGGAACCAGGAGGUGAAGGCAGAAGUCUGAGGCCCAUGUCCUGAAGUCAGAGAGCAGAGGAGGUCCAGGCAGUGCUAGGAGUCAAGGCAUUGCACUCAUGAUCAGGAUGACUGAGCUGAGCAAGCCCGAGGAAGACCUUCAGGACCCAGGCAAGGCCCAGGGCCUGGAGGAGGCGCAGCUCUUGGGGGCUGAGGCAGGGGAGGCUGCAUCCACCUCGGCCUUCUCCCCCAAGUCUCCUGCUCCACCCUUGCAGAGGCCUUGCCCCAGGAAGCUUUGAAUGAGAUGGUGGCUAACCUGAUGAAGUUCCUGCUGUUCGAGUAUCGGGCCAAGGAGAUGGCCUCCGAGGCGGAAAUGCUGAAGAAGGUCCUCAGGGAUAACAAGGAGCACUUUUCGGUGGUCUUCAGCCAAGCCUCAGAGUGCCUGCAGCUGGUCUGUGGUGUGGAG